rnacentral:rRNA from 1 species
UAGGGAAUAUUAGAAAUGGACGCAAGUCUGAUCUAGCAACACCGCGUGUGCGAAGAAGGCCUUCGGGUUGUAAAGCACUUUUUGGAAGGAUUAGGAAGGAGUGUACUUCCAGAAUAAGUCUCGGCUAACUACGUGCCAGCAGCCGCGGUAACACGUAGGAGGCAAACGUUAUCCGGAUUUACUGGGCGUAAAGCGCGUGUAGGUGGUUCUGUAAGUAGGGCGUGAAAGCUCCUGGCUCAACUGGGAGAGGCCGUUCUAAACUGCAGAGCUAGAGGAUGGUAGAGGGAGGUGGAAUUCCGGGUGUAGCGGUGAAAUGCGCAGAUAUCCGGAGGAACACCAGUGGCGAAAGCGGCCUCCUGGACCAUUCCUGACACUCAGACGCGAAAGCUAGGGUAGCAAACGG